rnacentral:lncRNA from 1 species
GCGCAUGCUCCGCUCUUUAGCGCUUCCUGAGCAAAGUUUGAACGCCUCUCGAGUCCAGUUGGCUUAUGCGCAUGCGUUUCUCUGGUGCAGGUUCUCACCAAAUCCAGAAGCGGCGGGCAUUUGAAAUGAUGUAAGCCGGGAGUCGCUCUGCCUGCCCGUUUCUGCGCUGCACUGGCCGACACUUAAGCACUGGAAGAGAGGCCUGGCAGGAGGCGGCGCAGUGGACACGCGGUCCGAGGACGGGGGCCUCACCCGCCGCCCCACGCUUGCCUCUUCCUGGGAUGCCGCAGGCGGGGCCCUAACUCACAGCCUCCUCACCCGGGCUCGUGUCUGCGCCCGCGACUUCGACUGGGAGGAGCUUCUGGCGCCACCUGCGCCACGGUGCGCCGGGCCGCCGGCGACCGGGUCGCUGCGCUCGGCGACUGCCGCGCUCCUCGGGGAACGUGAGGGUCUGAGUCCGGGAUCCAGGAGAGCAGUUGGUGUCGGGUCUCUGCGGGGGAGCGGGGCUGCGAGGUGGAGGCGAGGACCGGGGUGGGCGGAGGCGGGGUAGGUCUGGCCGGGAAGUACCCGAGGCCCCGAGGCAUGAGCGGGGGAAGGUGACCAGGACUUGGAAUUUCAUAAACGUCCCCGUCAGGCGUGACGGGUCGUCAGGGCUGCUAUCAAAGUCAGUCCGCCCAUCUACCCUCAAACAAGCCACCUCCUCUCCACCAAAACAGGCUGUGUAAAAAGUCCAGCUAUAGACGACCGCCGUCGACUUAAUUUCGAAAAAGAUACACUUUGUCUUCUAUUGUGUUCUGCUCCUACUCCUGUGCACACACCAGAAUCUGGUGAUUUAGAAGAGAAGAUUGAACAACCAAGAUGAAAACCCCUGCUUCCUUUACCUGAGGUGUGGCCCUGAUGGAGGUGAAGAAAUCGCUUCUAUUGGCAUUUUAAGUUCAGCAAGAAAUAUGGAAGUGUACUUAGGAGAGGAGUACUGUGGAACCAGUAGGGGCAA